AUACGGAGGGGGCUAGCGUUGUUCGGAAUUACUGGGCGUAAAGCGCGCGUAGGCGGGCUGGUAAGUUGGGGGUGAAAUCCCAGGGCUCAACCCUGGAACUGCCCUCAAUACUGCCAGUCUUGAGUUCGAGAGAGGUAAGUGGAAUUCCUAGUGUAGAGGUGAAAUUCGUAGAUAUUAGGAAGAACACCAGUGGCGAAGGCGGCUCACUGGCCCGAUACUGACGCUGAGGCGCGAAAGCGUGGGGAGCAAACAGCAUUAGAUACCCUUGUAGUCC
rnacentral:rRNA from 1 species